UACGUAGGGGGCAAGCGUUGUCCGGAUUUAUUGGGCGUAAAGAGCGUGUAGGCGGCUAGGUAGGUGGGGUGUGAAAACUGGAGGCUCAACCUUCAGACGUCGACCCAAACCCCCUGGCUAGAGUCCGGAAGAGGAGAGUGGAAUUCCUGGUGUAGCGGUGAAAUGCGCAGAUAUCGGGAGGAACACCGGUGGCGAAGGCGGUUCUCUGGGCCUUACCUGACGCUGAGGAGCGAAAGCGUGGGGAGCGAACAGG
rnacentral:rRNA from 1 species